ACCUCCAUGGUCCAGUGGUUGAGCGCUGGGCUUGCAAUCCGGAGGUCCCGGGUUCGAUCCCCGGUGGGGACG